rnacentral:rRNA from 1 species
CGGUAGUGGGCGAAACCUGCCCUGUACUGGGGAAUAAUCAUUGGAAACGAAUGACUAAUACCGCAUGUGGUCCUCGGAAGGCAUCUUCUGAGGAAGAAAGGAUUUAUUCGGUACAGGAUGGGCCCGCAUCUGAUUAGCUAGUUGGUGAGAUAACAGCCCACCAAGGCGACGAUCAGUAGCCGACCUGAGAGGUGAUCGGCCACAUUGGGACUGAGACACGGCCCAA